UGCUACCAAACUCCCAUAUUGCGAGUGCGUUAACUACAAGUGCCUGCUGUGGCCUAUGUGACUGGCAUGCUGCAUGGAUCAUGUGACAACACCAAAACAAGACAUGCUCGCAGUGAUUCCAACAGAACAACCAAGUCCAGUUUCAGUUCUUGAUACUGCAUUCAACAGCUUUACAAGACGAGAGCCCAAGUCCCGAUCAGGCAGAAGAUCAGGAGAUCUGUUUGUCUUGAUUCACGAGUCUGGAUAUUGUUGAAGACUAAACCAAGAAACUGCUGCAAAUGACAAUGAAUAUACAUAUCAGAGCACUAAUUCACGUGAGAGAUACAUUAACAAAGAUGCCACCAGCAUUCGAACUCUUCAAAGAUACGAUUAUCAUCUGAAUGGGCAGCCAUCUCCUUUCCUUACAUGCCCUUCAAGAAGAGGAUGAUCCAAUUGAGGAAGCAAAUGAAGAACUCUGCCAAAAUAUGAAAAUAAUGACAAGAAACUAAAUCAGUAAGUCCAGAGAAAAAUUGAUACUGAUGUGGCAAAAUGAAAUACUGGUUCGAGAAAUAACCUCAGGCAUAUUAUUUACAACAUGAAGGAGACUGAGCUUACAGGGGCUUAUUAGGGAAGAUGGAACAAUUAUGCAGGAUGCCACAUUGCAAUCUUGAUGAUGAGGUCAUCACAUGUGAACUGAAACCUCUUGCAGGGAACUCUUUACCAUGUAGUAUUGUCACCCGGUUCUUUCUUAUUUUGUAAAUACAUAGUAUAUUUUGCUUUCA